rnacentral:tRNA from 1 species
GGGCUGGGGCUCAGCGGUAGAGCCCUUGCCUAGCAUGUGUGAGGCCCUGGGUUCCAUCCUCAGCACCACA